rnacentral:misc_RNA from 1 species
GCAAGUCUCAUUGUCCGUGCCCCUGUAACCCCAAUAGUCUUGCCCAUUGUUCAUCAAGGUUUUGGGGAGGUGAUGCCUGAGAAUUAUUGGUUUGGAAGAAGGCCUCCUUUUCCGUUAUGUAACAAAAGAAUUAACAUAGUUGUUGGUGAGCCAAUAGAAUUUGAACUUCCUAAAAUGAGGCAAAUGGCAAUUUCUAUGUCUCGUAAUUUGCAUUUUCCUAGCAAAGGAUGGCCCAGUAUUUCCUAUUAUGGACUGGAUGAAACAGCAC